rnacentral:tRNA from 1 species
AGCCCGGUGGCGGAAUUGGUCAGACGCGCUUCAUAUUAGAUGGGAAGUGCCCCGGAAGGGACAUUGCCGGUUCGAGUCCGGUUCGGGCUGC